AGUGAACGUUGGCGGUAGGCCUAACACAUGCAAGUCGAACGGCAGCACAGUAAGAGCUUGCUCUUACGGGUGGCGAGUGGCGGACGGGUGAGGAAUACAUCGGAAUCUACUUUUUCGUGGGGGAUAACGUAGGGAAACUUACGCUAAUACCGCAUACGACCUACGGGUGAAAGCAGGGGAUCUUCGGACCUUGCGCGAUUGAAUGAGCCGAUGUCGGAUUAGCUAGUUGGCGGGGUAAAGGCCCACCAAGGCGACGAUCCGUAGCCGGUCUGAGAGGAUGAUCAGCCACACUGGAACUGAGACACGGUCCAGACUCCUACGGGAGGCAGCAGUGGGGAAUAUUGGACAAUGGGCGCAAGCCUGAUCCAGCCAUACCGCGUGGGUGAAGAAGGCCUUCGGGUUGUAAAGCCCUUUUGUUGGGAAAGAAAAGCAGCAGGUUAAUACCCCGCUGUUCUGACGGUACCCAAAGAAUAAGCACCGGCUAACUUCGUG
rnacentral:rRNA from 1 species